rnacentral:rRNA from 1 species
AGAGUUUGAUCCUGGCUCAGGACGAACGCUGGCGGCGUGCUUAACACAUGCAAGUCGAACGGAAAGGCCCCUUCGGGGGUGCUCGAGUGGCGAACGGGUGAGUAACACGUGGGUGAUCUGCCCUGCACUUCGGGAUAAGCUUGGGAAACUGGGUCUAAUACCGGAUAGGACCACGGCCUGCAUGGGUUGUGGUGGAAAGCUUUUGCGGUGUGGGAUGGGCCCGCGGCCUAUCAGCUUGUUGGUGGGGUGAUGGCCUACCAAGGCGACGACGGGUAGCCGGCCUGAGAGGGUGUCCGGCCACACUGGGACUGAGAUACGGCCCAGACUCCUACGGGAGGCAGCAGUGGGGAAUAUUGCACAAUGGGCGCAAGCCUGAUGCAGCGACGCCGCGUGGGGGAUGACGGCCUUCGGGUUGUAAACCUCUUU